rnacentral:rRNA from 1 species
UGAAUACGAGAUGCUACGGCGUCGAAGCAGUGUAUGUCAGACUUCCAAGAAAAGCUCGCAAUGUCAUAAAUAAAGAAUGCCUGUACCAUAACCGACACAGGUGGGUAGGUAGAGUAUACUAAGGGGCGCGAGAUAACUCUCUCUAAGGAACUCGGCAAAAUAACUCCGUAACUUCGGGAGAAGGAGUGCCUUCUUUAAGAAGGUUGCAAUAACAAGAUCCAAGCAACUGUUUAUCAAAAACACAGGUCUCCGCUAAGUCGUAAGACGAUGUAUGGGGGCUGACGCCUGCCCAGUGCCUGAAGGUUAAAGAAGUUGGUUAGCUUUUGCGAAGCUGAUGACUGAAGCCCUGGUGAACGGCGGCCGUAACUAUAACGGUCCUAAGGUAGCGAAAUUCCUUGUCGGGUAAGUUCCGACCCGCACGAAAGGCGUAAUGAUUUGGAUACUGUCUCGGAGAGGGACUCGGUGAAAUAGACUUGUCUGUGAAGAUGCGGACUACCUGCACCAGGACAGAAAGACCCUAUGAAGCUUUACUGUAACUUGAAAUUGAAAUUGGACUUUAUUUGCGCAGUAUAGGUGGAAGGCGUUGAAAGUAAUCUUGCGGGAUUAGUGGAGCCAUCAGUGAGAUACCACUCCUAUAAUGUUAGAUUUCUAACUUUGGAUCAUGAUCUGGUCAAAGAACAGUUUCAGGCGGGCAGUUUGACUGGGGCGGUCGCCUCCCAAAUGGUAACGGAGGCGUACAAAGGUUUCCUCUGAACGGGUAGAGAUCGUAUCUAGAGUGUAAAGGCAUAAGGAAGCUUGACUGUGAGACCUACAAGUCGAGCAGGGACGAAAGUCGGUCUUAGUGAUCUGACGGUGCUGAGUGGAAAGGCCGUCACUCAACGGAUAAAAGUUACUCUAAGGAUAACAGGCUGAUCUCCCCCAAGAGUUCACAUCGACGGGGAGGUUUGGCACCUCGAUGUCGGCUCAUCGCAUCCUGGGGCGGUAGUACGUCCCAAGGGUUGGGCUGUUCGCCCAUGAAAGCGGUACGCGAGCUGGGUUCAGAACGUCGUGAGACAGUUCGGUCCAUAUCCGGUGUAGGCGUUAGAAUAUUGAGAGGAGCCUUCUUUAGUACGAGAGGACCGAGAAGGACAUACCUCUGGUGUACCAGUUAUCGUGCCAACGGUAAACGCUGGGUAGCUAUGUAUGGAGAGGAUAACCGCUGAAAGCAUCUAAGUGGGAAGCCCACCUCAAGAUGAGUA